GAAGAUGACACAGCUCAAAAUAAAAAUUAGGUAUAUUCUCGUAAAGUCAAGUGAGCCAUGACAUAUGAGCUCUUAUUGUGAGCACACAGGACGGUGGCAUCUUUCUAAGGUUUUUUUAUUUUCCCAGCAAUCAGUACAACCAAGUCAUCGUUAUAAGGCAUCGCCCUCUUUUGCCCACCCCCCCAGCACCAGGUGUGGCCACUAGCCUAUAUGAAGGCCCAAAAUUGUGUGUUCCUUUCUGCUCUGACAAUGGCAUGCCCAUUCGUGCGAGAUGUGGUGGAUGAAGAAGCACUUGUGCUGAGGAGAGCCUUCAGGCGAGAAAGGGUCUUCAGGGACCGGUUGGACCCACUGGCCUUCCCUGAUGACCAUCUAUAUGAAAGAUACAGGUUUUCUGCAGAUGGCUUCAGGUAUCUAUGCAGACUACUGGGUCCCAGGAUUAAGCACCGCACUGCACGGAGCCAUGCACUGAGUGUGGAGCAAAUGGUUUGUGUGGCCUUGCGCUUUUUUGCUAGUGGAGCCUUCCUGUACUCAGUGGGGGAUGCAGAACAGCUGAACAAGGCCACAAUUUGCCGCACAAUAAGGAGUGUGUGUCUGGCUAUCAAAGCAUUAGCAGAUGUCUUCAUCUCCUUCCCUGGCCACAGAAGACUCUGUGACAUCAAAGAGGAGUUCUAUAGGAUUGCAGAUGGUCUGCAAUGCUGACUGUGUGAUCAGCAAUGUUGUGGCAAAAUGGCCUGGCUCAGUCCAUGACUCCAGAAUCUUUCGGGCCUCUGAAAUCUAUCAGUGCCUAUCACAAGGUGAAUUCUCUGGUGUGUUGCUGGGAGACAGGGGGUAUGGCUGCCAGCCUUUUCUCCUGACACCUUUCACAGACCCCCAGGAAGCACAGCAGGCCUACAACCAUGCCCAUGCCAGGACCAGGGCCAGAGUUGAAAUGACCUUUGGCCUCCUGAAGGCACGCUUUCACUGCCUUCACAAAUUAAGGGUCAGCCCUGUUAGGGCAUGUGAUAUUACUGUGGCUUG